rnacentral:rRNA from 1 species
CACAUGAGCGGUAAGCAUUAUCCGUAAUGAUUAGGCGUAUAGGAUGCGUAGAUAUUUUAGGAAGUUUAGAUUUACUAAAAAAGUUUAUUUAGUAUGUAUAAAUACCCUAAAAAAGAGUUUAUAUGAAGUAAAUAAUAAUUAUAAAUUAGCGAUGAAAUGCUGUUAGUUCAUAAGUAUUGCCAAAGGCGAAAGCAUUUUACUACUAUAAACUGUCAUUGAGGCAUGAAAGUAUAGGUAGCAAAUAGGAUUAGAGACCCUAGUAGUCUAUACUGUAAACUAUGAGUAUUAAAUCAAGUUUGGUUAAAGCUAACGCGUAAAUACUCCGCCUGGGAAGUACGAUAGCAAUGUCGAAACUUAACAGAAUUGGCGGGAAUUUGAUUGAACGGUGGAACAUGUGGUUUAAUGCGAUAAUCCGCGCAAAACCUUACCAAUAUCGUUAUAUAUUCAAUUUUUUAGUUAUUAAAAAUAAAUGAACAUAUUCGAGGUGCUGCAUGGCUGUCGUCAGUUCGUGUUGUGAGAUGUAGAAUUAACUUUUUAAACGGACGCAACCCUAGAAAUUAGUUUUAUAAAUUUAUUUUUAUAAGUUUUUCUUAAAAUAAAUCUAUUACUAAUUUAUCAGAUUUUUGAAAAAUCAGGCUGAAGUCAAGUCCUUAUGGCCUUUAUAUAUUGGGCUACACACGUGUUACAAUGGUAGAAACAAAAUGUUACGAAAGUUAAAUCUGGAGUGAAUCAUAAAAAACUACCUCAGUUCGGAUUGUAUUCUGAAAGUCGAAUACAUGAAGGUGAAAUCGUUAGUAAUCGCAGAUUAGUACGCUGCGGUGAAUUAAAAAUCAAAUUCUGCACACACCGCCCAUCACGCUCGGAAAAUUGAUAUUAUGGAAAAUAUAAAUAUAUUAUAAAUUAUUUGAUUAUUUUUAUAACAUAAAUUAUAUUGAAUUUAGUAUUAGUGAUUUGAGUGAAGUUG